ensembl:lncRNA
AUGGAAACCAAUGCUAUAAUGUCAAUAAUGUCAAACCAAUGGGAAAACACAGGGGUCUGUAACAAGUGUGAGCAUUCAAGGACGAUGAACUGACACCCAGGCUUAGAACAAUAGGAAGCUUUCCAGUAUGUUUCCAAGUGAACAAGUGAAUGUAAUAUUCAUAGAAGGAUAACUCAUAUUCAGAUGAUGCUGUGUAAAAUCCAAAGCUUAGGAGUGGAGAGAGAUGCCUUUACCCUAGUCAGCAAACUUGAGUUUAAGUUGGUUGCACUGAUGGCUGUAGCUAAAAAGCAUCAUUAGAUUUAACCUAAGCUAGUCUCAAGAUCUCCCGAAGACUUUAAAGGAAGGAUGCUCCAUGAGGCAAUUAAAGUGAAACUUCACAAAGUUCUACUGCUUUGAGCAGGAACUUGUAUUAGACGACUGCCUGAGGCCCCUGCCAAUCUGUAUUAUCUCCCAGACCUAUUUUUAAACAACUCUUCAGUGACUAUCUGUUAAACUUUGUUUAUACCAUCUAAUGUCUGGUUUUUACCCUACAAACUGGAUGUGCUCAGCCACUCCGAGGUAGCGGUCUGUAAUAUAUGGGAAAGCCUGCAGAAAGCUCUACUGCACUCACGUGGAAAGCAGCUGUUUCUCAAGGAAGAAGAUAAUUUAUCACCCAGCUAUUUGGCUCUUUGGAAUCAUUCAAGUGUACAAAGAAUGAAACCUCCUUCUAAGAGAAACAAAGAUCUGCCUUAUUUGCUGG